CCCUUUACUCGGGGAUAGCCUUUCGAAAGAAAGAUUAAUACCCGAUAGCAUAAUGAUUCCGCAUGGUUUCAUUAUUAAAGGAUUCCGGUAAAGGAUGGGGAUGCGUUCCAUUAGGUUGUUGAUGAGGUAACGGCCCACCAAGCCUUCGAUGGAUAGGGGUUCUGAGAGGAAGGUCCCCCACAUUGGAACUGAGACACGGUCCAAACUCCUACGGGAGGCAGCAGUGAGGAAUAUUGGUCAAUGGGCGCUAGCCUGAACCAGCCAAGUAGCGUGAAGGAUGAAGGCUCUAUGGGUCGUAAACUUCUUUUAUAUAAGAAUAAAGUGCAGUAUGUAUACUGUUUUGUAUGUAUUAUAUGAAUAAGGAUCGGCUAACUCCGUGCCAGCAGCCGCGGUAAUACGGAGGAUCCGAGCGUUAUCCGGAUUUAUUGGGUUUAAAGGGAGCGUAGGUGGACUGGUAAGUCAGUUGUGAAAGUUUGCGGCUCAACCGUAAAAUUGCAGUUGAUACUGUCAGUCUUGAGUACAGUAGAGGUGGGCGGAAUUCGUGGUGUAGCGGUGAAAUGCGUAGAUAUUAGGAGGAACACCAGCGGCGAAGGCGGAUUGCUGGACGAUAACUGACGGUGAGGC
rnacentral:rRNA from 1 species